CCCCGGAGGACAGGAACCGCAGCCUCACCGACAUGGCCGUCACCUAUGCAGGGAGAGGACAGGAGAGUCAGCCUCGCACCGCCGCCUGAUAAAGAAAUUGAGGCUCAGAGAGGCGAGGAAAGGACUCAUCCAAGGUCUCACAGGCAAGCACGCCGGGAGCGGUCACCUGACUGGCCCGGAUGGCCCAGAGGUGAAUGGAAGG